rnacentral:rRNA from 1 species
AUUGAACGCUAGCGGCAUGCCUUACACAUGCAAGUCGAACGGCAGCACGGGGGCAACUCUGGUGGCGAGUGGCGAACGGGUGAGUAAUGCAUCGGAACGUGCCCAUCGAUGGGGGAUAACUGCGCGAAAGCGUUGCUAAUACCGCAUACGACCUACGGGUGAAAGCAGGGGGACCGCAAGGCCUUGCGUCGAUGGAGCGGCCGAUGUCGGAUUAGCUAGUUGGUGGGGUAAAGGCCUACCAAGGCGACGAUCCGUAGCGGGUCUGAGAGGAUGAUCCGCCACACUGGGACUGAGACACGGCCCAGACUCCUACGGGAGGCAGCAGUGGGGAAUUUUGGACAAUGGGCGAAAGCCUGAUCCAGCCAUGCCGCGUGAGUGAAGAAGGCCU